rnacentral:rRNA from 1 species
UACGAAGGGUGCAAGCGUUACUCGGAAUUACUGGGCGUAAAGCGUGCGUAGGUGGUGAGUUAAGUCUGUCGUGAAAGCCCCGGGCUCAACCUGGGAAUGGCGAUGGAUACUGGCUCGCUAGAGUGCGGUAGAGGAGAGUGGAAUUCCCGGUGUAGCAGUGAAAUGCGCAGAUAUCAGGAGGAACACCAAUGGCGAAGGCAGCUCGCUGGGACGGUACUGACGCUGAGACGCGAAAGCGUGGGGAGCGAACAGG